CCCCGGAGGACAGGAACCGCAGCCUCACCGACAUGGCCGUCACCUAGAUGGGGAGAGGACAGGAGAGUCAGCCUCGCACCGCCAUCUGAUAAAGAAAUUAAGACUCGGAGAGAAGAAGAAAGGACUCAACCAAGGUCCCACAGGUAACCUCCUAUUUAGAACACUGUCUUCUGUAUGAUAAAAAGUGUUUUUUAACAAAUAAUAGCAUAUUUAAAUGAAGAGUAAUGGAUUUGAAGGACACUUGGCUUUAGUAGAGCAGGUAGGAACCCAGCUUCUUGGCGGUCCACAUUUCUGGCCCCCCCCCGCCCCCUCCCCGUGGAAAUAGGACCGGGGCCGGGGGGGGGGGAGGGGGGAUGGGAAACCCAGGUGUGUCUCUGCAGGUGGCCUGAUGGAGAGCCAGAUGUGUGGACAGCGCUGGUUUCUAGUGGAAGGGAAGAGCAGGCAGCUCCUCAGGGAGCCCUAACUGUCACCAGAGUUUGUUGUCGCAGGGCUGCAAGGCAAACGGAAACUCUCUGAUGGUUCAAGACCAGGCGUGGGAGUCAGGCUCCGGGAUCCAAGAGGCUCCCUUCCCUCAGUUUACCACACAGCCUAUAGCCCCCUGUGACCUUCCUGCCCAGGGCAGUACUGCGAGGUGUCCAUGACCUGCUCCAGCUGAAGCCUAGAGUCUCAAAGGGACCAGUCAUGGUGGUGGUGGGGACGGUGGGGGAGGGGGGGAGCAGGUGCAUCAUCUCCCCAGUCUUCACAGCACACCUGUGACCCUUUGACAGAUGAGAACCCCAGGUGAGGCCGCAAAGGGCCAAGUGGGAGGGAAGGUUCAGUAGCCCAAAUGGCUCAGCCACACGGAGGAAAUUUUUGUGGCCCCGAGAGGUGGGAAUAUGGUUUUGAGGAAUAAUGACAUGGGAAGAUAAAACGUGUUCAAAGUACGAUGUGGAGUAAGAAGGCGGAGAGGCAAGCUGUACACGACCUGGCCUCAGUCUUGUUUUUGAGACGAUACCUUACCGAUGUUCUGCAGAGGACAUGCACUCCCUCAUAGUUAGGGAAAAAAAUGUUAAUUUGAAGAAAACGGAACACAUGGUUGCCAUGUCUUUGGUUGCAUAGUAAUUAAGCAGGGCUGACUGCCUGUCCUCUGACCCAGAGAAUGUUGCUUUUCAGGAUGAACCUGGGGUCAAAGGAGAAACUUUCCUCUUAAAAAAAAUACAAGAAGGAAAGAAAGAAAACCUUUUUUUUUUUGAAGGCCCACAAAUAUUAUCUACACUCCCAGGCAACUCAGCUGGGCUUUUAGGAGGUAAAGAUAACUCAUGAAUUUCUGUGAAAUAUCCAGAGGGUGUUUGGAUUUAAAUGGCCCCUUCUCUGAUCUGAUCGCCACCAACAGGCUCCCAUCACGCUCCAUCACCUGGUGUGCCCGGGACCCCUGAGAAAGACGGCGGCUCUUUGGGGAAGGGGCCUCUUGGGGCCGCCGUGGGGGUAAGAGUGUGCAUGCACCUGGGGCCCAUGGCUGGGAAAGAAAGGGCCUGGAGGCAAGAGAACAGAGAUGGGGGCACGGGAGCUGAUCCUCUGGGAAGCACGGGACAGGCAGCUGAAGCCCCUUUCUCAUGCAGCCUCCACACUGGUCUGUGGCUGUAGGACCAGCUCUAGAAAACAGGGUGGCCGAGGGGUGCCUGGGGGGCUCAGUCGGUUAAGCAUCUGCCUUCA